CCUACGGGUGGCAGCAGUGGGGGAUAUUGCACAAUGGGGGGAACCCUGAUGCAGCGACGCCGCGUGGGUGAAGAAGCGCCUCGGCGCGUAAAGCCCUGUCAGCAGGGAAGCAAACGACGGUACCUGAAGAAGAAGCCCCGGUUAACUACGUGCCAGCAGCCGCGGUAAUACGUAGGGGGCAAGCGUUAACCGGAGUUACUGGGUGUAAAGGGGGCGCAGACGGCGAUGCAAGCCAGGAGUGAAAGCCCGGGGGCCAACCCCGGGAGUGCUCUUGGAACUGGCUGGCUGGCGUGCAGGAGGGGCAGGCGGAAUUCCUGGUGUAGCGGUGAAAUGCGUAGAUAUCAGGAGGAACACCGGUGGCGAAGGCGGCCUGCUGGACUGCAACUGACGUUGAGGCCCGAAAGCGUGGGGAGCGAACAGGAUUAGAUACCCCAGUAGUC
rnacentral:rRNA from 1 species